rnacentral:tRNA from 1 species
ACGCCGACUGGGCCGCCCUGGCCCAGGCAGGCCUGCUCGGCCUCGGCAUCCCCGAGGAGCACGGCGGCGACGGCCUCGGUCUCCUCGAGGUCGGCGUGC